CUGAAUUGUAAUUACACUUGUAACUGCAUUAAGAGAUUGCAUGAAUAACCAAUACCCCUAAUUAAAAUAAUAGAAAAUGUAACAAAAUAGAGGAAGUUGCACUGUGUAAAUCCAAUUUAAAAUAAUGUAUAAUGAAAAGGAAUGCCCUUCAAAUGUUUCUAGGUCCAUCCAAAUUUUUAUACAAGCAGAUUCUGUGCAGAAAUUAAAACACAUAUUUUUUCACUUUUUUCUUCCUUUCUUCUUUCACUCAGUGAUAGAAUAUUUUCAGCGUAAGACCUAUGCUCUGAUUAGAAAAAGACUAUGAUACCUCUGCAGGUUCCCUACAGCAGAGCCUUACCAUAGCCCAUAACUGAUCCAGCAGCAUUUGUCAUCUCUGCAGUAUACUUGCUGUAAUUCCCCUCCUCUGGUUUUUCUUUAAAACUAGAUCACACACAACCUUUGAACAAAGAAAAACAAGAUGUUUUAACUGAGGAAACAUGACAUGGAUGAAGCAUAUUGGAUGCAUACUGAGACUGGGAAUACCAGAACCAAGCCAACCUGCAGGAAGAGUUGCAGGACUGCGUGCAGAACACGGGGCAGACAGCGGUGGUGUAGCCUGGCACACGACAAGCCCAGCUACCCCUCGCUCCCUCACACAGCCAGCCCCUGCCCCACUCACCAGCAUCACUGGGAAGAAAGCGUUAAUAGAAAACUCGAGUGCCAAUGCAACUUCCAGUAUAAAGAAGAAAGGUUACCACUGAAUCCUCUAUGAUCAGGAUUGGACACAUGAAAUAAUCGGGAAUAAAACUAUUUAUAUAACCA
rnacentral:lncRNA from 1 species